UCUCUCCCAUGUGCUGCUUCAACACAUCUGACUUCUGCCUGCCCUUUUGCUAGGCAAAACUGCUCAUUGGACACCGAGAACUUCCUGUUUCCAUCCAUUACAAGCUCGGGCUAGGGCUGGAAAAGUAGUUGCAGGCUGCUGCUCUCCAAAGAAACACAGGAUUUAGACUCUACCUAUACCACAGCAUCAAGAGUUCAUCUACCUCUUUCUGCGAGGAAAGGGUUCAUCUAGUUUGGAGGAGAGCAGAAACUGGAUUAUUCAGUCUAAAGCAGAGAACAUGAUGGAGGACAUCUCUCCGAAUAAAUAAAAAGCUGCUGCGGUGAGGCAGGCAAUAAAUCUGCUCUCUGUGCUCACAGUGGAUACAAGGAAAAGUAAUGGGACUCAAAGUGCAGAUCAGUUAAAAAAGAACCAUCAAGCUAAUCAUUAGGAAAACUUUCUACUGGUAAAGCCAUAGUUCUUGGAGAAAGCUGACUGCGAAUCUCCAUCAGCACAUCCUGAACUUUUUCUUGAGGAUGAACACCUUCAGAAUAAUGGAAAAGACUCAUCCUGCCUAAGGCCUUGGGAUUUUCUGAUCUUGAGAGCUGAACAAACAUGGCUGAUCUGGAAAGAGCCUAGCAAGAGAUUGCAGGUGCAUCAAGCAGACUCUCAGGAGAGCUGCUCUCGGACAGCAGUGGCUUUGGCAGGUGGCCUGCUCAUCCCCAGCCCUCGCGUGUGCCUUGCCCGUGCGUGGUCUGUGUCUGCACAGAUGGGGCUGGCAGAAGCAAAGCAUUUCUUUUAAUCCUUCUAAGAAACACCAAAUUAAGAUGUGAUUAUGGAACUGUUAAAAAGGAAUUACCACAGAGGAACUUCCAGAUGGCUGUGCAGAGUAACUACUGAAGAGUAAACGGGGCACCAAAACUGGAGGCAGUACCCCAGGUGGGGUGUCAGCAGAGCGGAGCGGCAGAAUCCUCUCCCUGUCCUGCUGUUCACUUCUUCAGAUGCAGCCCAGCACACAGCUGCCUCCUGGGCCGCCAGCGACAUUCCU